rnacentral:misc_RNA from 1 species
GGAAGGAUCAUUAUUGCACAGUCUGGUGAGAAACCAGGUGUCUCUUGCGACCUCAAAUUAAGUAGGACGACCCGCUGAAUUUAAGCAUGUAAUUAAGAGGAGGAAGAGAAACUAACGAGGAUUCCCUCCGUAACGGCGAGUGAAGCGGGAAGAGUUCAAACCUGGAAUCGUCUCGCGACGAAUUGUGGUGUGUAGACGCGUGUCUCAGUGGCUGUGCCGAUGGAAGUCGAUUGGAAGGUCGCAUCAGAGAGGGUGAAAAUCCCGUUCGACAUUGGAUCCGCAGUCACGUUCGAGCCGCCGUCUUUGAGUCGGGUUGCUUGGGAGUGCAGCCCUAAGCGGGUGGUAAAUUCCAUCUAAAACUAAAUAUGUGUGGGAGACCGAUAGCGAACAAGUACCGUGAGGGAAAGAUGAAAAGAACUUUGAAAAGAGAGUUAAAAGUACUUGAAAUUGUUUGGAUUGAAGGGAUGACGCCCAGUCGGUCAGGAUGGCUUGCGUGGCGGGUUUGCUGCGCCCGGGGGUAGGUAGCUCGCGCCUCGGCGCGAGUGUUUAGCCCCGGGCGUCCAGAUCCCGCCGGUGAGCGAGGUCGCGGAUAGAUCCUGACAAAAUGGUCGUCAUUCACCCGUCUUGAAACACGGACCAAGGAGUCUUACAUGUGUGCGAGUGUUAGUGUGAGGAAGCAUUAUCGCGUAAUGAAAGUGAAUUCGUUUGCAGACGAGGGCGACUACGGUACGACCCGGAGCAUACAUGCAGGGACCCGAAAGAUGGUGAACUAUGCCUGGGCAGGAUGAAGCCAGGGGAAACUCUGGUGGAGGUCCGAAGCGAUACUGACGUGCAAAUCGUUCGUGUGAGCUGGGUAUAGGGGCGAAAGACUAAUCGAACCGUCUGGUAGCUGGUUCCCUC